rnacentral:rRNA from 1 species
GACGAACGCUGGCGGCGCGCUUAACACAUGCAGGUCGAACGGAAAGGCCUGCUUUCCCUUGUGGAUUGCGGGUACUCGAGUGGCGAACGGGUGAGUAACACGUGAGUGAUCUGCCCCCAACUUGGGUAUAAGCCUGGGAAACUGGGUCUAAUUCCCGAUAGGACUGCAGGGUGGUGCCUGUGGUGGAAAACGAUUUUCUAGUGGUUGGGGAUGAGCUCGCGGCCUAUCAGCUUGUUGGUGGGGUAAUGGCCUACCAAGGCGGCGACGGGUAGCCGGCCUGAGAGGGUGGACGGCCACAGUGGGACUGAGAUACGGCCCAGACUCCUACGGGAGGCAGCAGUGGGGAAUAUUGCACAAUGGGCGGAAGCCUGAUGCAGCGACGCCGCGUGGGGGAUGACGGCCUUCGGGUUGUAAACUCCUUUCGACCGCGAGGAAGCCACCUGGUUGGAAGGGUGGUGACGGUAGUGGUAGAAGAAGCACCGGCUAACUACGUG